rnacentral:rRNA from 1 species
UACGUAGGGGCCGAGCGUUGUCCGGAAUUACUGGGCGUAAAGCGCGCGCAGGCGGCUGAUCAAGCCUGACGUGAAAGCCCCCGGCUCAACCGGGGAGAGUCGUCGGGGACUGGUUGGCUUGAGGGCGGUAGGGGCCGGUGGAAUUCCCGGUGUAGUGGUGAAAUGCGUAGAGAUCGGGAGGAACACCAGUAGCGAAGGCGGCCGGCUGGGCCGACCCUGACGCUGAGGCGCGAAGGCGUGGGGAGCGAACGGG